UGACCGCUGGCGGCAUGCCUACCACAUGCAAGUCGAUCGGUAAGGCUCUUCGGAGUACACGAGAGGCGGACGGCUGAGUAACGCGUAGGAACACACCCUGCAGUGAGGGAUAAGACACCGAAAGGUGUUCUAAUACCGCAUACGGUCUUCGGAUUAAAGCAUUUAUGCGCUGAAGGAGUGGCCUGCGUCAUAUUAGAUAGUUGGUGAGGUAAUGGCUCACCAAGUCGAUGAUGUGUAGCUGGUCUGAGAGGAUGAUCAGCCAGACUGGAACUGAGACACGGUCCAGACUCCUACGGGAGGCAGCAGUGAGGAAUAUUUCACAAUGAGCGAAAGCUUGAUGGAGCAAUGCCGCGUGCAGGAUGAAGGCCCUCGGGUUGUAAACUGCUUUUAUAAGAGAAGAUUAUGACGGUAACUUAUGAAUAAGGGACGGCUAACUACGUG
rnacentral:rRNA from 1 species